CCGAAGCUCUACACUACAAAAAAUCCAAUGAUUUUAUUUAUGUGUGAAAACACAUAUUUCAAAGACAGAGUUCAUUCCGACGUUUAUAACCGCCACACAUAUACUUUGUUUGUGAGACUGCUACAGUUUUAUGUGUCAUCCCUUAUAGUAAAAAUCUAUAAAGCUUCACACAUAAUUCCAAAUAGUCGCUCAUGAACCUGCCGCCUCCCGUGAACUUUGUUGAUAUUUCUCCUUUUUUUUGAAGAUGGUCGAUCAGCUACAGAUAGGAGGUGAAAAUUUUUGCAGGGCGACGGAAAGGAUCUCAGCCAAAGAUUGAAACAUAAGAAUACAGGAUGCACGGUGGUGCAAUGCGGCUUCGUCACAGGGGGUUGCCGGUGUCAAGGCCGGAGUAGGCUGCUGUUGAUUAGACUCAUCGGCAAAAUUAACGACUGCAGAACCAUAUACGACGGUACAUCCAUCAAGUGCCACCAACAUUUUCAUCGCCACAAGCGGCUCCGGAGUUCGUACGUCUGCUGCUUGUACUUCCGGCCAAAAAUUACGGAAACACCGGCAGCAUAUCAACCAUGUUAUUGUUAUUCUAUGUUGCAAAUAUAUUGGUUAAAGUGAAUAAACUUUGAAGUGUUUUAUUGA